GAGUUUGAUCGUGGCUCAGGAUGAACGCUAGCGGCAGGCUUAAUACAUGCAAGUCGAGGGGCAUCAGCUUAUAGCAAUAUAGGGCUGGCGACCGGCAAACGGGUGCGGAACACGUACACAACCUUCCUUUAAGAGGGGGAUAGCCCAUAGAAAUGUGGAUUAAUACCCCGUAAGAUAGUGGGAUGGCAUCAUACUACUAUUAUAGUUACGACGCUUGAGAUGGUGUGCGUCUGAUUA
rnacentral:rRNA from 1 species